rnacentral:rRNA from 1 species
AAACCAACAGGGAUUGCCUCAGUAACGGCGAGUGAAGCGGCAACAGCUCAAAUUUGAAAUCUGGCCUUACGGUCCGAGUUGUAAUUUGUAGAGGAUGUUUCGGGCACCGCGGCGGGUUAAAUUUCUUGGAACAGAAUGUCAAAGAGGGUGAGAGUCCCGUCUUGGCCCGCGGUAGGACCUAUGUGAAACUCCUUCGACGAGUCGACUUGUUUGGGAAUGCAGGUCAAAAUGGGUGGUAAAUUUCAUCUAAAGCUAAAUAUUGGCCAGAGACCGAUAGCGCACAAGUAGAGUGAUCGAAAGAUGAAAAGCACUUUGAAAAGAGAGUUAAACAGUAUGUGAAAUUGUUGAAAGGGAAGCGCUGGCAACCAGACUCGAGCGCGGUGUUCGCCCUGGCUUCUGCCUGGGUUACUUCACCGUGACCGGGCCAUCAUCAGUUUUGGGGGUUGGUUAAAGGUUCAGGGAAUGUACCUACUCCUUCGGGGGUAGACUUAUAGCCCCGGACGUCAUGCAACCUCCCGGGACUGAGGAACGCGCUUCGGCGAGGAUGAUGGCGUAAUGGUUGUCAGCGAC